CCCUUAGAUGUUCUGGGCCGCACGCGCGCUACACUGAUGAAUUCAACGAGUCUAAAACCUGCUCUGAUAGGGGUGGGUAAUCUUUUGAAUGUGCAUCGUGAUUGGGAUAGAUGAUUGCAAUUUUUCAUCUUCAACGAGGAAUGCCUAGUAAACGCAAGUCAUCAGCUUGCAUUGAUUACGUCCCUGCCCUUUGUACACACCGCCCGUCGCUCCUACCGAUUGAAUGAUCCGAUGAAUAUCAUGGAUUGAGGAUGCAAGCAGGUUCGCCUGUCUUCAUCUUCGAGAAGUGAAGUAAAUCUUAUCAUUUAGAGGAAGGAGAAGUCGUAACA
rnacentral:rRNA from 1 species